AGAACAAGAGAGAGAGAGAAAGGGAGUGGAGGGAGAAGGAGAAAUGUAUAAGUGGGCUUGGCAAGUUUUCUAAACUAGUGUUUGCGAAGCUGUUCGUCUCAGGAAAAUUUUUUGCAAUAUAACUGCAUUGGAUCCUCAGAUCGCAACUUUUAGAUACCGAUCUAAACCAGCUUCAUAUUUGCUGACUUUCAUCUUCAACACUCAUUCUUUUUUCGUCUCAACAACUCCUGGCGGGAAGCAGAAAGAUGAUGAAAAAAUCUUCCACAUGGCGUAGCUGGGGUGGUUCUUACCAUGGCCCACGGCAGGUGUUUGAACAGAAGCUUUCUGUCAUGUAUGACAAACACCAGCAACACAUGGAUGUGCUGCGUUUAGCUUAUGAAAAUUCACUGAAGGUUGCUUUGAUGUUAAUGGAAAGUGAAAAAACUCCAGAAGCUGUUACAGAAUACCACAAGAGAGUUGCAGAUUCCCUGGCAACUUAUGAGGCUAGUGUGGAAAGGAUCUGGAAAAAAUAUGACGAGGUGACUGCUGACAUUCUGGCAGAUUAUACAAGUAAAAUGAAAAUCAGUGGGAACAAAAGAAACUCUAACAUUGAGCAAGAUGAAAAGCAAUAGGUUACUAAGGCUGUCUUAUAUUUUAACUGUUGAAAUAAAUUGAAAAAAAAAAUUAAUGAAAAAAUUACCUCAUCAGAUGAAUAACGAGUAUAGUUUGGAGAAACUAACUUAUAGUAAUUUAUCAUAUCACUCAGUAAUGAUAUUUUUCUAUAUAUAUUUUGUCAUUAAUUUGUAAUACAAAAAUUAAUUUCCUUUU